rnacentral:rRNA from 1 species
UACGGAGGGUGCGAGCGUUGUCCGGAAUCACUGGGCGUAAAGGGCGCGUAGGCGGCCUGAUAAGUAGGGGGGUGAAAAUCCUGCGGCUUAACCGCAGGGCUGCCUUCUAAACUGUCAGGCUAGAGCACAGUAGAGGCAGGUGGAAUUCCCGGUGUAGCGGUGGAAUGCGUAGAGAUCGGGAAGAACAUCAGUGGCGAAGGCGGCCUGCUGGGGCUGUU